rnacentral:rRNA from 1 species
ACUCCUACGGGAGGCAGCAGGCGCGCAAAUUACCCAAUCCUGACACGGGGAGGUAGUGACAAUAAAUAACAAUACCGGCGCGUUAGUGUCUGGUAAUUGGGAAUGAGUACAAUCUAAAUCCCUUACGAGGAUCCAUUGGAGGGCAGUCUGGUGCCAGCAGCCGCGGUAAU